AACGAACGCUGGCGGCAUGCCUAACACAUGCAAGUCGAACGAGACCUUCGGGUCUAGUGGCGCACGGGUGCGUAACGCGUGGGAACCUGCCCUUAGGUUCGGAAUAACUCCCCGAAAGGGGUGCUAAUACCGGAUAAUGUCUUCGGACCAAAGAUUUAUCGCCUUUGGAUGGGCCCGCGUUGGAUUAGCUAGUUGGUAGGGUAAAAGCCUACCAAGGCGACGAUCCAUAGCUGGUCUGAGAGGAUGAUCAGCCACACUGGGACUGAGACACGGCCCAGACUCCUACGGGAGGCAGCAGUAGGGAAUAUUGGACAAGGGGCGAAAGCCUGAUCCAGCAAUGCCGCGUGAGUGAUGAAGGCCUUAGGGUUGUAAAGCUCUUUUACCCGGGAUGAUAAUGACAGGACCGGGAGAAAUAAGCUCCGGCUAACUCCGUG
rnacentral:rRNA from 1 species